rnacentral:misc_RNA from 1 species
CGGAUCGUUUUAGAAACAUCAGGGGCCAAUCGAUCGCCAGAUCGUUGAGCUCCAUUGGCGGGAUUUCGCCGUCUUCGUUUCUCUUUCUUCGCGGACGAACACGCGCCAGGGGCUUAAGCGCUGUGCGAUGCAUCGGCGCUAGGCCGGUUGCGCGCGAGCACGCCCCUGAUCCUCAACUGAGGACAGCGUUAGGGCUUGUAGCUCAGUUGGUUAGAGCGCGCGCUUGAUAAGCGUGAGGUCGGAAGUUCAAGUCUUCCCAGGCCCACCAGCCUUCGCUGGCUUCGCCAGCUACGGCUAGGCAAGCCGGGUGAAGAGCGAAGGCUGCCACGUCGUAGCUCGAAGAGCGAAGACGGGCGCUACAACGCAGCAUUCGUCUUCUGGUUACGGGGCCAUAGCUCAGCUGGGAGAGCGCGUGCUUUGCAAGCAUGAGGUCGUCGGUUCGAUCCCGUCUGGCUCCACCAGCCCUCGCUGGCUGCGCCAGCUGCGGCUCGGCAGGCCUCUCGAAGCGAAGGCUGCCACGUCGCAGCUCGAAGAGCGAAGACGGGCCGGUAACGACCCAAGUAAUCGUCCGCGAAACAUCAAUUCGCAUGUCGCGAUCCUCACCAGGAUGCGCCAUGCGUGUUUUCUGACAUCGUAAAGAGGAGAUCGAUCCGAGUUUGGAUCAAGCGAAGCAAUUCGCCUGGCCCAAUCACUAUCUCCGGGAUCAUUUCGGCGCCCGCUUCAGUCGUGAGAUUGAAUGCGGGUUGUAAAUGGUCCUUGUUAGCGAAGCUUGACCGCCUCGCUAUCGGUUCGAUCUUACGAAGCAAGCUGGUCUUUCUAGUCAAUGUCCGGCUGCGACAAUCGCAUUCAUCGAGGAUGCGUGCCUUCAAUGGCAGUUGCGCAGACAACAUUCUGCCGAGUGUGUGGACAUUGAUAAUGAGAGCAAUCAAGUGCCUUAAGGGUGUUCGGUGGAUGCCUUGGCGCUGAGAGGCGAUGAAGGACGUGCUACGCUGCGAUAAGCCGUGGGGAGCUGCGAAGAAACUUUGAUCCCCGAUUC